rnacentral:rRNA from 1 species
GGGAAUAUUGCGCAAUGGGCGAAAGCCUGACGCAGCGACGCCGCGUGGGGGAUGAAGCAUUUCGGUGUGUAAACCCCUGUUGCUCGGGACGAACAAGCCUUUUCGAGGGCUCUGACGGUACCGGGUGAGGAAGCACCGGCUAACUCUGUGCCAGCAGCCGCGGUAAUACAGAGGGUGCGAGCGUUGUCCGGAAUCACUGGGCGUAAAGGGCGCGUAGGCGGCCGAUCAAGUGUGUGGUGAAAGCCCGGGGCUCAACCCCGGGUCUGCCGUGCAAACUGGUUGGCUUGAGCACUGUAGAGGCAGGUGGAAUUCCGGGUGUAGCGGUGGAAUGCGUAGAGAUCCGGAAGAACACCGGUGGCGAAGGCGGCCUGCUGGGCAGUAGCUGACGCUGAGGCGCGACAGCGUGGGGAGCAAA